rnacentral:rRNA from 1 species
CGGAGGAGUAUGUGGUUUAAUUCGAUGAUACGCGAGGAACCUUACCUGGGCUUGAAAGUUAGUGACCGUUCCUGAAAGGAUUUCCACGACUAGGUGUGACGAGCGCAACCCCUAUCAUUAGUUGCCAGCGGGAUGUCAAGUAGCACGGCCCUUACGUCCAGGCUACAUACAUGGCAAGUACAAGGGUUGCUACACAGCGAUGUGAUGCUUCUCUAAAGCUUGUCCCAGUUCGGAUUGGAGUGCAACUCGACUCCAUGAAGCUGGAUUCGCUAGUAAUCGAAAUCAGCAAUGUUUCGGUGAAUACGUUCCCGGGCCUUGUACACACCGCCGUCAAACAAUGGAAGUUGGGAGUAUCUAAAGUCGAUAACCGCAAGGAGUCGCCUAGGUAAAACCAGUAACUGGUGUUAAGUCGUACAAGGU